rnacentral:rRNA from 2 species
UCCCUACGGGGUGCACCAGGCGCGAAACCUCCGCAAUGCGAGCAAUCGCGACGGGGGGACCCCAAGUGCCACUCUUAACGGGGUGGCUUUUCAUAAGUGUAAAAAGCUUUUGGAAUAAGAGCUGGGCAAGACCGGUGCCAGCCGCCGCGGUAAUUCA